rnacentral:rRNA from 1 species
AGAGUUUGAUCAUGGCUCAGAACGAACGUUGUCGGCGUGGAUUAGGCAUGCAAGUCGAACGAGAACCAGCCUUGUAGCAAUACCGGGUUGGGGAAAGUGGCGAAAGGGGCAGUAAUGCGUGGGUAACCUACCCUGGGGACCGGGAUAGCCAUUCUAACGAGUGGGUAAUACUGGGCGAUCUGGCUGAGGCGCAUGUCUUGGCCAGCAAAUGAAUUUCGCCCCGGGAGGGGCUCACGUGGUAUUAGCUAGUUGGUAGGGUAACGGCCUACCAAGGCGUAGAUGCCUAGCGGGUGUGAGAGCACGACCCGCGCCACUGGCACUGAGACACUGGCCAGACUCCUACGGGAGGCUGCAGUCGAGGAUCUUCGGCAAUGGGCGCAAGCCUGACCGAGCGACGCCGAGUGCGCGAUGAAGGCCUUCGGGUUGUAAAGCGCUGUCGAGGGGGAGGAAAGCCCGCAAGGGUCUGACCUAUCCCUGGAGGAAGCACGGGCUAAGUUCGUGCCAGCAGCCGCGGUAAGACGAACCGUGCGAACGUUGUUCGGAAUCACUGGGCUUAAAGGGCGCGUAGGCGGUCGAUCACGUCCGGGGUGAAAGCUUUCGGCUUAACCGGAAAAGUGCCUUGGAUACGGAUCGGCUUGAGGGAGGUAGGGGCAAGUGGAACUUCCGGUGGAGCGGUGAAAUGCGUUGAUAUCGGAAGGAACGCCGGUGGCGAAAGCGACUUGCUGGAUCUCUUCUGACGCUGAGUGCGCGAAAGCUAGGGGAGCGAACGGGAUUAGAUACCCCAGUAGUCC